rnacentral:rRNA from 1 species
UGGGGAAUAUUGCACAAUGGGCGAAAGCCUGAUGCAGCAACGCCGCGUGCGGGAUGACGGCCUUCGGGUUGUAAACCGCUUUCAGCAGGGACGAAGGUUUUCUGACGGUACCUGCAGAAGAAGCACCGGCUAACUACGUGCCAGCAGCCGCGGUGAUACGUAGGGUGCGAGCGUUGUCCGGAAUUAUUGGGCGUAAAGAGCUUGUAGGCGGUCCGUUGCGUCGGAAGUGAAAACUCAGGGCUUAACCCUGAGCCUGCUUUCGAUACGGGCGGACUUGAGGGAUGUAGGGGAGAACGGAAUUCCUGGUGGAGCGGUGGAAUGCGCAGAUAUCAGGAGGAACACCAGUGGCGAAGGCGGUUCUCUGGACAUUUCCUGACGCUGAGAAGCGAAAGCGUGGGGAGCAAACAGGCUUAGAUACCCUGGUAGUCCACGCCGUAAACGGUGGGCACUAGGUGUGGGACCCAUUCCACGGGUUCCGUGCCGUAGCUAACGCAUUAAGUGCCCCGCCUGGGGAGUACGGCCGCAAGGCUAAAACUUAAAGGAAUUGACGGGGUCAUGAGCUGUUU